rnacentral:rRNA from 1 species
GACGAACGCUGGCGGCGCGCCUAACACAUGCAAGUCGAACGAGCGAGAGAGAGCUUGCUUUCUCCAGCGAGUGGCGAACGGGUGAGUAACGCGUGAGGAACCUGCCUCAAAGAGGGGGACAACAGUUGGAAACGACUGCUAAUACCGCAUAAGCCCACGACCCGGCAUCGGGUAGAGGGAAAAGGAGCAAUCCGCUUUGAGAUGGCCUCGCGUCCGAUUAGCUAGUUGGUGAGGUAACGGCCCACCACGGCGACGAUCGGUAGCCGGACUGAGAGGUUGAACGGCCACAUUGGGACUGAGACACGGCCCAGACUCCUACGGGAGGCAGCAGUGGGGAAUAUUGCACAAUGGGGGAAACCCUGAUGCAGCGACGCCGCGUGGAGGAAGAAGGUCUUCGGAUUGUAAACUCCUGUUGUUGAGGAAGAUAAUGACGGUACUCAACAAGGAAGUGACGGCUAACUACGUG